GGGCCCGCACAAGCAGCGGAGCAUGUGGUUUAAUUCGAAGCAACGCGAAGAACCUUACCAGGGCUUGACAUCCCCCUGACCGGUGCAGAGAUGCAUCUUUUCUUCGGAACAGGGGAGACAGGUGGUGCAUGGUUGUCGUCAGCUCGUGUCGUGAGAUGUUGGGUUAAGUCCCGCAACGAGCGCAACCCCUAUCUUCAGUUGCCAGCAGGUAAAGCUGGGGACUCUGGAGAGACCGCCGGGGACAACUCGGAGGAAGGUGGGG
rnacentral:rRNA from 1 species